CGUACGCCACGCAGGGGUAGAGGACUGCGGCCCCGAGUGCGUAAUCGGGACAGCUUUUAUGGGGUUCACAACAAAGCCUGUGCGUCGCAAACCAAUCAUUUUAAAAUAUUGAGAGCCCGCGCUCCGUGGACCAAUCAUUUUAAAAUAGCUCCGGAGGUCCGCAUCUGCGUGGGCUCCUGGGCAGAGUGACAGAUUGCAGUUGAGAUAGGUCACUAGGGCUUUCAAUGUGUAAUCAAUUCUUCUAUGGUGCCAGUCAGUUUUACAGAAUCCAGAUAAGCGAUUAGUCAACUCAUUUCCUGUUAUCUUACUUAGGCCAGGAUAGCAGGCCCUGGAACAAUAGGAAGUGUGACCUUCUACCUAUUUACUGGCAGCGAGAGGGGUCUGGAAUUCGGGGGCAUUUAGAGCUUUUUAUUAACUUCCUGGGUUCUGGGAGGGUUAGGUUGCAUUUUCAUCCUUUCAGAAGCAAGGCUUUAGCCAAGCUACUCCUGUAGUGGAAGAGAAGGCAGUGAUGCUCUGCAGGUAGGGUUGGAGGCACUUAGACUAGAGGCAAGGAGAUCACAUAAGGAAUUUCUUUUUUUUAAAUUGUAUUGGGAGUUCCCAUAGUGGCUCAGUGGGUUAGUGCCGAGACCAGCUCAGCAGGAUGGGACUGAAGAACAGGUGCUAUGGAACUUAAGGAAAAAAAGUUAACAUAAAACAAGACACAGAGACAUUUAUCUUAAGUAAAGGUGGCAACUGGGGGACUCAAGGUCUCAGGGACCAAGAGCCCUGCCUCAAGAAACCACACUGCUUUUAUUGUGCUCUUGAGGAUUACGUCAAGCGAAAAGGGGGUUGUAGGUGCAGGAUAUAGGUUUUUUAUUAUUAUUUUAAAAGUCACUUAGCUGGUAAAUGGUUAAACUUUUUACUCUAAGCUAUAGGCAUUUAAGAAUCAUUAGCAUUUGAGUUAGCUUUCAGAGAAUCCUCACUGUGCUUCUGCAAAGGGCAUGCCUAUUUGUGGCAACCCUGUGUGCCUAGGUUUGCACCUUGGUUCUCUUUUCUAAUGCAUAUUCUGCUAAUGACCACUCAUAAACCACUUGGUCAUGAGGUUCCUCUUUCUCUUAUUCUAUAGAGGACAUAUUGUGUUUGUGCAAAUGGCGUGCCAAUCUGCACAGGUCCAGCGUGCCUAGACCAUUGUAUUAUGUCCUCAUUCAGCUGACCCCACAAAUAACCCUUGCCUUUAGGUCUUUGUUCUUAAGCUUAAGUCAUUUACCAGCACUGUGACUGUUUUUCAAGCAGGAAGGUGGGAUAAAGAAAAGAAAGACAAAAUGGAGUUUUCAGCAAAGAGGCUAAGGAAAUAUUAUAAAAAUAUGUCUCGCAGCAGGUUAGGACCUGACAUAUUGUCCCUGAGGAUGUGGGUUCCAUCCCUGGCCUGGCUCAGUGGGUUAAGGAUCCAGUGUUGCUACAAGCUGCAGCAGAGGUCACAGAUGCAGCUCGGAUCUGGCAUUGCUGUGGCUGUGGCAUAGGCCAGCUACUGCAGAUCCAAUUCGACCCCUGGCCUGGGAACUUACAUAUGCCGCAAAUCCGGCCCCCCAAAGAAAGACAGACAGACAGAAAGAAAAUUAAAAAGAAGAAAAAAAUCGUAGCAGAGUAAGUUCAUUUAUAAUGUUGUGUUAAUUUCUGCCGUAUAGCAAAGUGACUCAGUUAUACAUAUAUAUGUACCUUUUCGUAUUCUUUUUUUUUUUUUUUUUCGGGCUUUUUGCCUUUUCUAAGGCCGCUUCCGUAGCAUAUGGAGGUUCCCAGACUAGGGGUCUAAUUGGAGCUGUAGCCACCGGCCUACACCAGAGCCACAGCAACACGGGAUCCGAGCCGAAUCUGCAACCUACACCACAGCUCGUGGCAACGCUGGAUCCUCGACCCACUGAGCAAGGGCAGGGAUCAAACCUGCAACCUCAUGGUUCCUAGUUGGAUUUGUUAACCACUGCACCACGACGGGAACUCCCCUUUUCAUAUUCUUUAUCAUGAUGGUUUAUCACAGGAUAUUGAAUAUAGUUCCCUGUUCUCUAUAAUAGGAUCUUGUUUUUUACCCACCCUAUAUAUAAUAGCUUGGAAUUUUUUAAUGCUCAUUUUGCAGGUAAGUGGGAUCCUGUACUAGAAUGAUGAAGGAAGAGGAUACAAAAGAAUUUUCAAAGAAGCUUAAACAGUAUUUGACCAUUUUCUGAGUAUCCUAGGCAUCCUAGGGGAACAAUUCAACUUAGGAUCCAGCCUCUCUUAAGCAGUGAAUCUCUCAUGCAUCAAAUAUUUUUUUUGAGCCCUCCUAUAUGCAUGGCAUUGAAAUAGAUACUAAAAAAGAUGCAAACUGUUACAUUUAGAGCAGACAAUGCAGUCCUGUUGUGUAGCAGGGGAAACUAUGUCCAAUCGCUUGUGAUGGAACAUGAUGAAAGAUAAGAAAUAGAGUGUGUCUAGAGGUAUGACUGGGUCACUUUGCUGUCCAACGGAAAUUGACAGAACAAUGUAAAUCAGCUGUAACAAAAAUGUUAAAAAUACAUAAUAGAAAGGAGUUAAAGAUACAUCAGAUGCAGUGUUGGACACGAAGAUGCUCCCCAUCUAGACUAAGACAUAACUUGUUUACACAAAUAACAUUAAUAGAAGAUAGAAAGUAACAAGGGUUGAAAGAACAUAGGAGGGAGGCUAUGUGGUCUGAAUAAGAAGAAGGUCACUUCUGGCUUGGUGGGGAAAAGGGAAUGAGGGGCAAGCAGGUUUGCUAUCCUCUGAAGGAAUUGCGCUUUUUAAAAGCAAAUUUGACUGAAGUGUAGUUGAUUUACAAUGUUGCGUUAAUUCCUGCUGUGAACUGUGCUUUUUAUCAUGCUUUGCAGUUAUAAUACUGUUUGCCCUGUGUGUACCAUCAUCCAGCCUCUCAAAUUUCCUUUGUCCUCAUCUGGGCUCAAAUUUUGUCUCUGUGAAUGACUUUAAGGAAGUCACAUACCUUUGGCUUCCUAUGCAAAACAGUGUUUUUGGUUUUUUGGUUAUGCUUUUUUUUUAAAUUUUACUUUAUUGAAGUAUAGUUGAUUUACAGUGAUGCCUUAGGAUCUGCUGUACAGCAAAGUGAUUUAGUGACAUACAUAUUCUCUCUUUUUUUUUUUUCUUUUUGCCAUUUCUAGGGCCGCUCCCUCGACAUAUGGAGGUUCCCAGGCUAGGGGUCGAAUCGGAGCUGUAGCCACCAGCCUCCGCCAGAGCCACAGCAACGCAGGAUCCGAGCUGUGUCUGCAACCUACACCACAGCUCACGGCAACACCGGAUCGUUCACGCACUGAGCAAGGGCAGGGAUCGUACCCGCGACUUCAUGGUUUCUAGUCGGAUUCGUUAACCACUGCGCUACGACAGGAACUUUUUCAUAUCCUUUUCCAUUAUGGUUUAUUACAGAGUAUUGAAUAUAGUUCCCUGAGCUAUGCAGUAGGACCUUGUUGUUUAUCCAUUCUCUAUAUAAUAGCUUGCAUCUGCCAAUCUCAAACUCCUAAUCCUUCCCUCUUCCCCCUCUGACCCCCGGCAACCACAAGUCUGUCAUAUAUAUUGAAAAAAGUAUUUUUGUAUGCUUCCCAUCAUCCAUGUGUGUAUGAUGAUCAACUCAUCUAUUUCUCCACCUAUCACCUAUUCUAUUAUUCUCUAUCUGUCUAUCUAUCAUCUAUCACCUAUUCUCUGCAUAAAACCAUUUAUACAUACAAUACAGAUGUGAUUAUGAGUGAUUUUAAUUUUCUUCCCUAUAUCUUCCUGUAUUUUAAAAUUGUUCUACAAUGAAUAGACAUAGCUUUUGCAAUUAGGGAAAAAUGCAAUUAAAAAACAAGUGGAGUUCCCGUUGUGGCUCAGCUGUAAGGAGCCCGACUAGUAUCCAUGAGGAUGCAGGUUCGAUCCCUGGCCUCACUCUGUGGGUUAAGGAUCCAGCGUUGCCAUGAGCUGUGGUGUAGGCUGAAUAUGUGGCUCGGAUCCAGUGUUGCUGUGGCUGUGGCGUAGGCCAGCAGCUGCAGCUCUGAUUAACCCCUAGCCUGGGAACUUCCAUAGGCUGUGGGCAUGGCCCUAAAAAGACAAGAAAAAAAUUUAAAAAUGAGUAAAUGAAGGAAGACACCCUCCCCAUAAGACACAGCUUGCUCUAUAAAUGUGAGCACUUCAGGAGUUAGCAGAGCCUUCUUCGAGCCAAGUGCCUGUCUUUGACCUAUGGUCAUCCCACCAGACACACUGGUCUUCUCUACCUUAAAGUAGUUUCCUGCUAAGCGUACACUUGGACAUGUUUGAACUUGGCCCCCUUUCUCCUUGACCAGAUGACAGAGGUGCCCUGGCUGUGUACAGAAGGCAGAGGAGAGGUCCCUCCGCAGGCCAGGCAGGCUGUCUGGUCCCCAGAUUGUGGGCUGAGAGCUGGCUCCCUUCUUCUAGGGCUGAGCCUCAGUGCCGGGACCACCGCCAGGCUGCCAGGCAGAAGGGGCUGCAGCUGGAUCAGCGGGACGAAGACUGGGAUGCCAAGAAGAGGGAGAUGGAGCUGUCGCUUCCUUCCUGGAAUCCAAACCCUGAGAAGAAAAAGAGUAAGAAACAUCGAGAGUCCACCAAGCUCAGCAACACCAAGGAGAGGAGAGCGUGAGAGGAUGGCCUCCGAGGGAUGGGAGCCUCUGAGGGAUGGCAGGAGACUUUCCCUGGUGCCAGAAUGGUUAUUAGGUAUGUGUCCUUCUGCUCCAUCCUAGACCAUUAAUUAUCCAGACAGCUUCUACCCGUAGCUCCUGACCUAUCAUUCAGCCUGGAAGUCUUGCCUGGACUCUCUACAUGGGCUGUCCCUUCCUUGCUAAUACCUGCUUGUCCCCAAGAAUGACCAGGAGGGAACAAAUGUGAUUUGCACUGUCGUCACUGCUUUGUACUGUCAGCAUCUCCUGAGCCCCUCAAUGCAAUUCUAGAGCUCCAGGCGCAAAGAAAAAUCUCCUCCUAAGGAAACUUCAUUGUUUCAAUGCAAAAAAAAAAAAAAAAAAA
ensembl:lncRNA